ACUGACUCAUUAAUGGACAUGCAUGUACCUACUGAAUCAAAAAAAGACUGGCUAGGGCAUUACAAGUAGGAGAGUACAAAAUUAAACUAUUUUUAUUACAUGUUAACAAUACAGAGGUUAUGCAAAUAGCAAUUUUGCUAUAAUGAUAUAAAUAUAAUUUUGUUCCCACUUUAAUUCACUUCUCUUUAAUCUAAUGAUGGAGUCUAUUGUUGCUAAGAAUACACCAGUGAGAGAAUUUAAGAAACAAAUUAUUGAAGAAGCAAGAGUACAAAGAAUUGACUGUGUCCUUGAAUUAGACAAAAAGAGAUUACUAAAGAAGAAUUGAAGGUCACCUGGUAGAGUGUAUCUUGAUCAUCAAUUGAUUGAGAGAUAUUCAUAUAUAUGCUGGUAGUGAAAUGUAUAUGGAAAUAUUGAAAGAACCUGAAAAGAUGAAGCUCCCAACACAGAUGCAUGCAGGUGUAUGUUAGAAGAUG